rnacentral:rRNA from 1 species
AUUAAUAAUUUAGAUGGCCUUUGCUAGUUUUCUAGCGAAUGGUUCAUUCUUUUUUACUGUGAACUGUUUUAAUUUUUCAGCGUCUGAGGAAUGUCUUUUAGCCAUAGGGAUAGGCUACUAGAAUGUUAACCGAGCUGAAAGUCAGGCUUAGGCCUGGUAUCCUAUUAAUUAUUUACCAAAAGAAUUCAGUAUUAUAAUUGUAACAUAAGCGUAAAAAACUUAUAAAACAACUUUUAACAACGGAUCUCUUGGUUCUCGCAUCGAUGAAGAACGUAGCAAAGUGCGAUAACUAGUGUGAAUUGCAUAUUCAGUGAAUCAUCGAGUCUUUGAACGCAACUUGCGCUCAAUGGUAUUCCAUUGAGCACGCCUGUUUCAGUAUCAAAAACACCCCACAUUCAUAAUUUUGUUGUGAAUGGAAAUGAGAGUUUCGGCUUUAUUGCUGAAUUCUUUAAAAUUAUUAGGCCUGAACUAUUGUUCUUUCUGCCUGAACAUUUUUUUAAUAUAAAGGAAUGCUCUAGUAAAAAGACUAUCUCUGGGGCCUCCCAAAUAAAUCAUUCUUAAAUUUGAUCUGAAAUCAGGCGGGAUUACCCGCUGAACUUAAGCAUAUCAAUAAGCCGGGAGGA